rnacentral:siRNA from 1 species
UUUGGAGUGCCACGCAUAGUC